rnacentral:rRNA from 1 species
CUGGCUCAGAACGAACGCUGGUAGCGUGGAUUAGGCAUGCAAGUCGAACGGGAUCCGGGAGGUAGCAAUACUUCUGGUGAGAGUGGCGGAUUGGGGAGGAACACGUGAGCAACCUGCCCUUGAGUUGGGGAAAACCGUUGGAAACGACGGCUAAUACCGGAUGUGGCGCCCGGCGACAUCACUGGAGCGCUAAAGGGGGCCGCAAGGCUCUCGCUCGAGGAGGGGCUCGCGCACCAUCAGCUUGUUGGCGGGUAACGGCCCACCAAGGCCUACGGUUAGCUGGUCUGAGAGGAUGACCAGCCCCACUGGGACUGAGAUACUGCCCAGACUCCUACGGGAGGCUGCAGUCGAGGAUCAUUUGCAAUGGGCGAAAGCCUGACAAUGCGACGCUGCGUGGAAGGAUGAAGGCCUUCGGGUUGUAAACUCCUGUCAUGGGGGAACAGGCGAGGGGAGCUAAUACCUCCCUUAGUUGAGUGUACCCCAAGAGGAAGGGACGGCUAACUCUGUGCCAGCAGCAGC